rnacentral:tRNA from 1 species
UGUGUUGUAGCUCAGUGGUAGAGCACUUGCCUUGCAUGCAUAGGGCACUGGGUUGGAUCCUCAGCACCACAU